rnacentral:lncRNA from 1 species
GCCCCUAUUCUUUGGAAACAUUUUUUAAGCAACAAAAUACAAUGCUCGUCACUCCAAUCAUGGAGGAUCCACUACAAAAAUAAGAAAGAUCGAGUACAUUAAUUCAAGUCAUUCAACAUGAUAUUUGUAUGUAUAAACAUGAUAUUUGUAUGUAUAAACAUAAUAUUGAAAAAGAAUUAUACCUUCAACAAAAUGGUAUCUCCACUCGGAAUGUCUUCGAACAUGUUGCCAGCUACAUGAUUCACUCCUAUGAAAUAAAAGAAAAUAAAAUUUAUCUGACAGUUAAAUGGAUGGUUGAUGAAAUUAAUGUAAAAUAAUAAUAAAUGCAAAGUAAAAAAUUAAAGAUAAUGUAUACCUUGAAUGAUUGGAGCAUUUGCAAUAACAUGAGGAAG